GCCGGGUGCGGUGGCUCACGCCUGUAAUCCCAUCACUUGGGAGGCCGAGGCAGGUGGUUCACCUGAGGUCAGGAGUUUUGAGACCAGCCUGGCCAACAUGGUGAAAUCCCAUCUCUA
rnacentral:SRP_RNA from 1 species